AUAUUGGACAAUGGGCGCAAGCCUGAUCCAGCCAUGCCGCGUGUGUGAAGAAGGCCUUCGGGUUGUAAAGCACUUUUGUCCGGAAAGAAAUCCAGCCGGUUAAUACCCGGCUGGGCUGACGGUACCGGAAGAAUAAGCACCGGCUAACUUCGUGCCAGCAGCCGCGGUAAUACGAAGGGUGCAAGCGUUACUCGGAAUUACUGGGCGUAAAGCGUGCGUAGGUGGUUCGUUAAGUCUGAUGUGUAAGCCCUGGGCUCAACCUGGGAAUGGCAUUGGAUACUGGCGACCUAGAGUGCGGUAGAGGGUGGCGGAAUUCCCGGUGUAGCAGUGAAAUGCGUAGAUAUCGGGAGGAACAUCCGUGGCGAAGGCGGCCACCUGGACCAGCACUGACACUGAGGCACGAAAGCGUGGGGAGCAAACAG
rnacentral:rRNA from 1 species